rnacentral:lncRNA from 1 species
ACAACAUUCUAGGCAAUACAUUCAUUUUUAUCGCAGCAAUACGGCCUAGCUGUGAAAGCUUCAAAUUUGACCAAAUUUCUAAGUCUUUUUUCACUUCCGACCAACAUUUUUCAUAAUUAUCUUUAAAUAAAUUCCCAUUUUUUGCUGUCAUGUUAAUCCCCAGGUAUUUAACUUUCUUAACCACUGUUAAACCUGUCUCAUUCUGAAACCCCGGCUAGCUUUUAUAAGCCAGGAUGGGCAAGGAUCCAGGAGACAGGUGGUUGGCUUCACUCAUCCAAGCAGCCUGUACACAUCCUCGGAGGUAACAGGUUGGAAUUGAUCCCACGCAACUUGACUAGACAGGUCUCUAGCACUCUCCCACCCCGGCCCUGCUCCCACGGUGGAGUCUACUUCUUCCCGAAUCUGAGCGAUUUUAUCUGCAAAAUUUUAUCUGUAUGGCAAUGUGAUGGGAAGAGCAGCGGAAACAGCUCCAAAAGCUUAAAAUCACUGUUUUGGGGGGAGGUUCCGUCCCCCCAAAAAAGCUCAAGAACUUUGCGUGUGUCAGGAAUUUUACUUUUUGAAAUAUGGCAACCCCACCUAAGUAGAAACAUCACAAACAAAAUAAAGAUGCAAACUGAACCUUCUACUACACGGUUUGCAUUUGCUAAAGUGUGCAUGGAACUAUAAAGCUACAUAUUUGCAAAACUAUGGAGAGAGAGAGAGAGAGAGAGAGAGAGAGAGAAGUGAAUAUUUUUGUGCUGUGCAUGUUUUUGUGUGUAUGCAUACCCCUUUUGUGCUGUGUGUAUGUAUGUAUAUAUAUAUAUGCAUAAUUACAUUGUGCAUGUGUGUGUUUCUGUUUCUAAUAGGCUUUUUGUUUAACCAGAGGAGAGGAAGAGGAAAUCCGCAUGUAAUGAAUCUGUUUAUUUUAUAGAGCUCCCCUAGAGAAGGACGGUGGAGCAAGAGUUAUGCAAAGCUCUGGUGGUGGCGAGGCAGCUGCUGGGAAGGGCAUAUCUGGUUUUCAUUUCCAUUAGUAAGUGGAAGUGGCUACAUAAGGCAAGACCUUGUAAAUUCCCUGCUGGGAGAGUAGCCCACUUGUGUGGACCUGUCAGACUUCAUCUUGGCCAUUAGUUCUGAGCAAAUGAGUCUUCUUGCUCUGAGUAAUCAUAGCUUCAUUCUCCUGCAUGGUUUGGACCUGUUCCUGGUCACUGCAGCUCACGCCUUUACAUCUGCUCAAAGUAGUUUUAAUGUUACUACAUAACAAAAAUAGUGCAGGAACCAUCAUUAAGUGAUGUUGAGCUCUGCUGGGGACUGAAGCCAAAACCAUUAAAAAUCUUCUAAUUAUGCGUUGGGCUUCAUGAAUGAUAAUGCUGUACUAUCCCUGGCAAACCACAGAUAUGCCUAUACCAGGGCAAAGUUUGCACAAAAUGCAUAUACUAUCGAAAAUAACACACAAAAUGCAUUACAUUAUUCAUUUUCACAGCUUUUUGUGGACCUUGAUCGUAGCUAAAAAGGAGCAGUGAUUUGGUGCCCCUGGUAGUUAUGUUACUAGCACUGUGCUUCAUUUCCCCCCCCCCAAAAAAAAAAUCCCCUACAAGAUUACAGAAAUUAUUUCCCCUCAAAUUAGUGGAAGAAACAAAAGAUGUCUCCUGAAACAUAAAAGCCAAGAAUGCAUUGGCAUAAAAUUUGAAAAUAGGACGUGGUGCUCAAAGCAGGUAGCCUUGUCCCAAAUUCUGGAGGAGAAUUCUGUGUCCUUUUUCUCACAAGACAAAUGAGGACCUCACAGGUUCUGCUGAGCCAGCAUGUUCUCAAAUACACUCACAUGUCAAAGCUGCUAGUCUCAAAGGAAGUUUGAUGAGGGGAAAUCCAUACAAAGUUCUCAAAUGCAAGGAGCAGAUUAGGAAGAAAGUAUUCAACUGAAACAGGAACUUGUGUUUUAAAACAUGAUGAACAGCACAAUCCACUGCAUGUAUAUUCAGUAAGUACGAUUAAGUUAAAUGGGGCUUAUUACUAGGUAAGUGUGCACAGGAUUGCAGUCUAAGAGAUUUCACAAGGCUCUACCGUUCCUUGAAAAGAAUCCAGGAGAGUAUAUAUUAGGUUUUUUUUGUAUAUAUGUGCUAAAUAGUUCAGAGUCUACAGAGGAGGGUAUUAACUUCCUUUCAUGGAAACCAUUUCAAGUAACACUAGAGACAAAUAAUAGAUUUUAAACAGUCCAACAGGAUAUUUAAUUGUAUAGAAUAUAAAUGCCAGGCUGCCUGUGCCAUCCCACAUCAUAGGAAUCUUUGCACUUUCCAAUGAGCUGGAGCAAAGCAUAGGCUUCUCCUAUCAGAGAUGAGGAGACCAACAGCCAAGUUUUUUUAAGUCUCAAAGUCACUAAUUUUAAAAGUUGCCACUCUGUCUGGCUCUCCCUUCCUUGAUCUCCCAAUAAUCAACCCCAUUCUGUUUUGCUUUGCUUUUUUAAAAAAAUAAAAAUUAAAUUUUACUGUAAAGGUUCUGCCAAAAUUUUGUAAAGGAUUCCAGCACUAUAAAAACUUUGAGAACCACUGCAUUGGUCCAUGGGUAAAGUUAGGCCAUUAUUCAGCCCCUUAUCUGCUGUACAGAGGUGAUAAUAUUUUAUCUCGCAGAGUUGUUGCAAAGAUUACAUAAACUGAUGGUCCAAGUCUACAGAAACAGAUCCUUGUUGUUGUUGUUGUUUAGUCGUUCAGUCAUGUCCGACUCUUCGUGACCCCAUGGACCAGAGCAUGCCAGGCACUCCUGUCUUCCACUGCCUCCCACAGUUUGGUCAGACUCAUGUUUGUAGCUUCGAGAACACUGUCCAACCAUCUUGUUCUCUGUCGUCCCCUUCUCCUUGUGCCCUCCAUCUUUCCCAACAUCAGGGUCUUUUCCAGGGAGUCUUCUCUUCUCAUGAGGUGGCCAAAGUACUGGAGCCUCAGCUUCACGAUCUGUCCUUCCAGUGAGCACUCAGGGCUGAUUUCCUUAAGAAUGGAUACGUUUGAUCUUCUUGCAGUCCAUGGGACUCUCAAGAGUCUCCUCCAGCACCAUAAUUCAAAAGCAUCAAUUCUUCGGCGACCAGCCUUCUUGAUGGUCCAGCUCUCACUUCCAUACAUCACUACUGGGAAAACCAUGGCUUUAACUAUACGGACCUUUGUUGGCAAGGUGAUGUCUCUGCUUUUUAAGAUGCUGUCUAGGUUUGCCAUCGCCUUUCUUCCAAGGAGCAGGCGUAUUUUAAUUUCGUGACUACUGCAGUGUUCAUGGAGCCCAAGAAAGUAAAAUCUCUCACUGCCUCCAUUUCUUCCCCUUCUAUUUGCCAGGAGGUGAUGGGCCCAGUGGCCAUGAUCUUCGUUUUUUUUUUAUGUUGAGCUUCAGACCAUAUUUUGCGCUCUCCUCUUUCACCCUUUGUUGCAAAGAUUACAUAAAUUGAUGGUUCAAGUCUACAGAAGCAGAUCCUUACAAACUAUCAACAGCAAAAAAUAUUGAGAAGGUUAAGUAGGACUUUACAAACUGUAUUUCAUCAAUCCAUAUGGUAGCUUAUCGUGCCAUUUUACGAAUGGGGAACUAAGGCUGAGAGAAAGUGAAGUUAAGUUAGACCUUUUGGCAUUUGUUCCUACAGCUCCUUUGCCAUGGAAUACAUAUUUUCUGCAGCUUCUUCCCUAGGCCUACUCUUGCCAAUGCUUUUUGGUGCUAGGAAUGCCUGCAGAAAAAAAUGCUUUCUGAAAGAGCUUUCCUUUCCUAAAACCAUUUCAUCUCUGUUGUUAAUGAUACAGAUGCUAGAAGGACACUCAAGAGAAAAGGCCGCUGCUAAAACACCACUUUCAAACUCUCUGAGCAUUUCCUUACAACCACUUCACUUCUAGCUUUUGUUUAGAAUCUGUGACAUGAACACAAAAAACCGAGUGGCCAACAAGAGUCUAAGUCUCAGACAUAUAUUCUUGCCCCCAUUUCACAAGCCAUGCACGAACACAGACCAAGCUCAUAAUAACAAUAAACUAUGACGGCUGUGCAUCUCUCCACCUACGUAAGCUUCAGCAUCAUGCUGAUAGAUCCGCCCAGAGGUUGUUUAUCUAACCUGUCCUCUUUUAAGAAAACUUUCCCAAGCUUGUUACUCUCUACUAUGGCCAAUUAACUUGGGGAAAAGCAGAAGAAAUAAACAGUUAUCAGACUCUUGCAUUUGAGGGCCCCUGCGGACGUACUUUUUAUCAAGCAUUCAUCAUGGUCUGUGCUCACGUAAUCAGGGCGGUUAUAUGCAAUCACAAUUCCAACACCGUUGGCACCUGCAAAAGUUUUUGGUUGGUCAUAAUACUUCGUUUGUAGUAGGUGCAUGUCCUGCAGGAAAACUCUGUAACUUUUCAUACCACUAAUGUCCCAGGGGGUGGGGAGUGUUGUCCCACUUCUGCUGUGCACAAGAGUAGCCCUCCAGAUGGCAAUAAUAUAGUUACACUGGGGACUUCAGGGGAUAAGCUCAGGGUCUCAGAACCUGGAGCAGACAGUCCUUUAGAUGCUCUGAUCCAAAAUCAUUUAUAAUCUUUAAAAGUUAAUGAUCAGCACUUUGAACUAUGCCCAGAAAUGAACCAGAAGUCAUUGUGGCUCUUUUAAUGAGACUUGCAAGCUUCCAAGGUCUAGUUCAUAUCAGCUUUCUGACUGCCACAGUAUGGGACUGCUGAAGUUUCCAAACACACCUCAGAAGUAGCUGCACAUAGAGCACAUUGCAGUCAUCCAGUCUUGAUGUAACUAAGACGUGUGUAGCCCCAACCAGACUGGACCACUCCAGGAAUAGACACACUGACGUACCAGCCUAAGCUGGGCAAAGUCACUCCUAGCCACCACCUGAGCAUCAAGGAACGAGGAGGCAGGAUCCAGGAAUACUUCACAAGUGCAAACCUGAGUCUUCAAGGAAGUGUUACCCCAUCCAAGAUGGGUUGAUUUCCUCUUUCCAUAUCAGCAGUCCUGACAUUUGCGCACUUUCAGACAACCUGUUUAUUGAGCAUUCAUCCUAGUUUGUUUCUGAGGUUAGGCAGCAUUGCACCAAGAAAGGGCCGGUAUGUGAUUGAAUCCUACUGUAAAAUAGUAAUAGUCUAGCAGCCCCCAUUGUCUUCUCUGGGUUAAAUUUCAAUUUAUUAACAUCCAUCCAGUACAUUACUACUUUCAGACAAUGGCUCAGAACGUUUACAUGAACCAGAUACCCUAUGCCAGAGAAAGCAGGAAGAGUGGAAAUGAGAAAUGAGUUAGACAGGUGUAAAAUGAGAUAAAUUGUGGUGGAGCAGUCCCCCGAGACUUAGAACCAGCAAUAAACUUUGCUAGGGGUCUCCAAGAUCUGGGUUAAAAGAUGACUAUCCUUCCCUAGGAUAGUCAAUAUUUCAAACAUAUUCUCAUGAAACUUUCCUGGGAGAUUAAACCCACCUGACUAAAAGGCCUGUGAUUUCUUGAGCGGAGAAGAACCAAAGAGUUCUGUAUUUCACAGCAGUUCCCACCUCUCACAGGCCACAGGUCUCUGAGUAAUGAAAAUGUCUCCAUCGCAGUAUCAACAAACAUUCAUUGGGAAAUGUGUAAUGCAGAGCAAAGGGUACACACAUUGAUUAGAAAUGAAGUAAACUGGCUUGGAUGACAUAACUGUCAACAUGAACCUUCACCUAAAAUUUCUAAUCCAACCAAUUUGAAUCUUUGUUUAAAUCUCACAUCCACCCAUUAAGAUUUUAUAAAAUCAAAAACAUCAAUAUUUUUCUUCCAAUUUUCUCUUUACUCAGUGCUUUAUCCUUCCAGAGGUCACCCAAAAGUCACCUGCUCUGGCCAAUUUAGAAGGAUCAGAAUAACAUUGGGGAAUUAAUAUCGGAUCUUUUCCAAGCUGGCAACUAUCAGUAACUGCCUGAAAACGUGAAUCAAACUCUGUAAAGUGUGCAAAGGGAAGGCUUGGAGAAAACAUCAGUAAAAAGAUGUGCAAUCGGUGAAGCCACCCAAAACAGGGAAGCUAAAAUUGUACAUUGAUUUCAGAAACUGGAAAGAGAUCCAAUUGGCCUGUUUUUGUUAUUAUUUGUUACUCAGUUUGCCAAAUAAUGUAUACUGAUUUUCUUUUUUCAAAGAAACUAAUAAAUAAAAUACUGUUGCUUCUUCCAGGCUUGAAAGGAAGAAGAAAUUGAUAGUUCAUUAGCAAGACAAGAUGGCGAAAGGAGAAAAGGGAGAACGCAAAUUCUAUUGGGCUUGUCCAUAAGCCACACACAAAGCACAAAGAACUGGAUAGAAGAUUAAAGCCAUCCAGCUGAAGCAGUCAUAAGAAGGCCUAAAGAAGAUCAUCAUGGUGGUACUCACUGAAAAGUGUGGGGGGGACGACCCAGAGAGGGUCAGAUUGGUCUUCCGGGCUACAAUAGUGGAAGCUGGGAUAAGGGAAAGUCAUACCCUGAGCAAUCCUAGUCCAGGCAGGAAGCUUGUUGGAGGAACUACAGAGCUUCCCUACACUUCCUUCAUGAAGCAUGACUGAGAAAAGGCUGAUUUCCUUACCCAGCUCCUUAAGGAAAUGGUACUUCUUGAAUCCAGUCCCCAUCUGUGGGGAAAUGGCUUUCUGAGCUCACUUUCCCCAGGGAGCUUUCCCAAACUGUCUCCAACUAAGAAUUAGUCUAAGAAUUAGUUCCCAUGGUAACGUAUCACCUAUAUUUCCUCAGGUGAAGACGUGCUGAGCCAGACCUGUCCUCAGGUUUCAGGCCCCUUUUCCCUCUCUUGCCCACUCACACCAAGAAUUCAAUAUUUUUAAAUCCCUGUUUUCAACUGUCAUUCACUGAUACUUUUAAUAUUGGGUUUUUGUAAACCACUUAUUCUGACGCUUUUUACAAGCCAUAUAAUAAUUGUUAAAUAGGCAGAUAAAAAUAAGAAAAUUUCCCAAUGCUUAGUGGCAAUCUUCAUUUGAAUGUCAGUUUUUUUCCUUUUCCCUCCUUCCAAAUAUUCUGUUUUCAUAGAGGAAGGACAGUUGAGGAACCAGGUUUUGUUGGCUGAAGGGAUAGCGGUGAAGAAUAGUGCUGAGGGGCUGCAAAUGAAUGUAGGCAUAGGGCUAUGUCCUCCUGAGGAAAAUGUGCUCCUACACAGUGAGAAGGAAAUGAGAUUUGUAGUGGCAGAAACUGCUGGAGGGAAGGGGAUGGUGGUGGGAGGUUUCAGAGAGUUAAGGAAUGUCUCGAAAUAAAGGCAAGUACUAGCACAGUUGCUUUCUAUUUAGGAGCAAAUAUCAGAUAUAUUUAACUGCAGGAUACUCUUGUUAGCUAUCUGGCAUACCAAGUACACAAAUAAUUGCAAUGCCAAAAAUCAUAAUUGCAAAGAUAGCUGCCAAAAAGCAAAAGAACUGAAAACUGAACCAUUCCUGCCACCGCCCCACCACACCCAAGUGGCCAGCACAAUAGCAUUAAAUCUGCACCAGUAAAUGAGGUAAGCACAAAAGGAAUAAGCAGAGGAAAGUGCAAAAUAAGGAAGGCAUACCUAAUAUACAGUGG